rnacentral:lncRNA from 1 species
UUGAAUUUCCCGAAAUUUCGAUGGAUUUUCAGAGGUACACUUUAGUGUACAAAUCCGGGUCCGUCAAUUCAUAUUCAUGUGCGCACAUUUCCAUUUCAGAGAGCACACUCCCGCGAACCUCAUCCUUACAGCGGGAUUACCAAUCCAGGCUAAAUCCCCUGUAAUAUAAACUCAUAGAGUAUUGUCGGGAUUACCAGUCCAGGCUAAAUCCCCUGCAACGACAAUUACUCUAAUGAGCUUGGAUCUGAAUUACCAGUCCAGGCUAAAUUCAGACCCUAAUUCGGAUUACCCGUCCGGGAUAAAUCCAUUUUCCACAUAUUCUUCGGGAGGGCUAUAUCAGGAUAGGAUCACCCGUCCGGGCUAGAUCCUUUUUACCGUCAAUUCCUUUUCAGAAAUCCAUCAAAUUUUCCUUCCAUUCAACCGGGAUUUAUUUUCUCUUUUCAUCAAGAAUAUCAAUACUUCAUCAAUUAUCAUACAAUAAACAUCCAACUCAUUUUCACAUCAAUAACAAACAUUUCAAGCAUUUAAGAAUAUAAUUCA